AUUUUGUUUCUUUUAUGCAGAUGUUGUUACUUAUUCGAAUGAGCUGGUUGAUUUUUGUGUCCUCGUUUCUGUGACAAUAUAAAGUGCAUGUUACAGUUAUUCAUUUCCAGACAUCAUUGUUGUUUUUCCCUCAUAGUCAUGAUUUUCAUACCAUAACACCUGCAGAUUCUAUCGUUCCUACCUUUUCUACUUCUAGAAUACAUAUGCUUUAUUUAUUUAUUUUUGAGAGAGCUGCCCCCAAUUUUGGGAUAAGGCUUAGAUGAUGAUGAUGAUGAUUUAUUUUUGAGAGAGCAAGAAGAAGAGGAGGAAGAAGAAGAAUAGGAGGAGGAGGAGUAAGAUUGUCUGGCAAUGCUGUCUUGAUUAAGGUAAUUCUCCCUCUGAGAGACAGAGGAAGAGGAAGAGGAAGAAGAAGAAGAUUGUCUGACAAUGCUGUCUUGAUUAAGAUAAUUCUCCCUCUGAGAGACAGAUACCUAUGCUUCCAACUAAAUGGUUCCUAUCAAACGUCUUGAUUAAGGUUUGCCAAUGCACAAUGGGAUACCCAGAUAAGAAGAAGGAAUGCAGCCAGCUUUACACACAAAUGCUGCUGCCAGUCUCACGACUUCCUCAUUACCCAACAUGGCACCUAAAAUCUCACUUUUGUGAAUUUUAAACCCUUAGCUUUGAAACAUGAAAUAACUUUCCUUAAGUUAUUCUCUUGGGAGGCCUCAAAAUUGCAAAAUAGGAGUGUGCCAUCCACGAAGUGGAGAUGAGACACUUGGAAGUUAGCAUUUUCCACCUUAAACCAUUAACCAAUCCCAUGGGGCUAGCUUUAUCAAGCAUCCUGCUUAGUGCCUCAGCCACUACAGCGAAAAGAAAGGUGAGAGAGGGUCACCCAGGUGGAAACCUCUUGAUCCCUUGAAGAAUCCUUUAUUUGAGCUGUUGACCAACACGGAGUAGCUAGAUGAACCCAACACUCCCAAAUCCUUCACAAUCUAGCCCACAGCAUGUGUCUGACAUAUCAUCAAGAAACUUCCACUCAAUGUGAUUGUAGUCUCUCCAUGUCAAGUUCGUGGGUAAAUCCCGGUCUCCCUUCCCUGUGCAUCAAGUCUAUGCAUCCAUGGGGCUAUCAAAGCCUCAUCUAGAAUCUGCUUGCUGAAAAUGAAAUCCCUUGAGAUCUGCAAAUGACGUUGUUGAACCUUUCAUGAAAUAUGAAAUCAGGAUAUCAAGGAAGAAUCUGGGUAGCUUUCAGAGGAAAAUCUCUCCCUUCGAGCUAAGAAUUCCUUUGAGUAUAACUCUAGACGUAGUAAGGAGGAAGAGAUAAAGUGGCGCCAACGCUCCCAGGCAGUUUGGCUCAAGGAGGGUGGCAAAAAUACGGAAAUUUUCCAUGGGAUAGCCAGUGCCCGGGUGCGCACCAACUCUAUUUCUUCAAUUUUGGUGGAUGGGAUUAGCAUUUCAGAUGAGGAUGGUAUCUGUGGCUCGAUUGUCAAGUAUUUCUCUUUGCUCCUUAUUGAUGAGGGUUUGGAUCAUCCAAAACCUGAUAACCUGUCCUUCUCUUCCCUCUCUUAGGAGAAUACGAAUUUCCUUGAGAAUCCCAUUCUUCUAGAAGAAACAAGGGACACAAUCUUAGCCCUUGAGAAGGACAAUUCCUCAAUUCCUGACAGCUUCCCUCUAGCCUUUUUCCAAGUUUUUUGGGAUUUGGUCUAAGAGGACUUGCUCCUUUUCGUUGAGGAUUUUGUCUAUACUGGUUUUAUCCAUUUGGAAUUGGGAUGUACCUUCAUCGCUCUUAUCCCGAAGCUUGAGGGGAACAAUUAGCCUGAAAGACUUGCACCUAAUUAGUUUGAUCAGCAACCCUUAUAACAUUGUUGCUAAGAUUCUUAGCCAAAGGCUGCAUAAGGUUAUCCCGAGCAUUAUUUCUCCUCUUCAAAGUGCUUUUGUGGCUAGUAGGGAAAUUCUUGACAAUAUUCUGAUUGCCCAUGAGUGCCUUGAUACCUACUUCACGGCAAAGAGAUUGGGUGUUUUGUGUAAGCUGGACCUUGAGAAAGCCUACGACCAUGUCAAUUGGUCGUUUUUGAACUACAUGCUUUCUCGAAUGGGUUUAAAUGAGAGAGGGUAACUCGGGUGGAAACCUCUUGAACCCUUGAAGAAUCCUUUAUGUGAGUUGUUGACCAACACAGAGUAGCUAGAUGAACCAAACACUCCCAAAUCCUUCCCCAUCUAGCCCACAACAUGUGUCCGACAUAUAUCAUUGAGAAACUUACACUUAAUGUGAUUGUGUUAUUUCUUCAUGUCAAGUUUGUGGAUCCAAAUGGAGAACGUGGAUUCACUCGUGUGUUUCUUCUGCCAAUGUUUUUAUCCUCAUCAACGGUUCUCCUUUUGACUUUUUUAGCUCUUCCAGGGUUCGC